rnacentral:tRNA from 1 species
GCCGCUGUGGUGGAACGGUAGACACGGGGGACUUAAAAUCCCCUGCCCGAUUUUGGGCGUGCUGGUUCGACUCCAGCCAGCGGUACCA